GCUACAUAGUCAACAUUUCGAUACGUUCCAAUGUCGUUCCAGAUUCGAUCCAAGGCGUAAAGAUCGCAUACGAGUUUCAGAGUAGCCUGUGUAUUUGCAUUGGGACAUCUUUGUACAGCUUCGAUAAACUGAGCGAGGAUUACGGAUUCAAUGUGAGAUUCCGCAAGAGUCAGGAGGUGAUUCAGGCAUCUAUUCCAUGCACCAAAGCCACCAAGAGUUUUAGUAUGCUUGCGAAGACGAA
rnacentral:misc_RNA from 1 species